rnacentral:lncRNA from 1 species
UUUAAAGUGAUAAUAAAGAAGGUGUCUGUGUCGCACAUGUUGCUGUCAAUAGCAUAUGCCAACAAGGAAAGCUUCGGCACGGAGGUAAUGUUCCAACAAGAGGUAAUUGUUUCGGUCGUGCCCUG